rnacentral:rRNA from 1 species
GCGGGCUAUCAUGCAAGUCGAGCGAACAGACGAGGAGCUUGCUCCUCUGACGUUAGCGGCGGACGGGUGAGUAACACGUGGAUAACCUACCUAUAAGACUGGGAUAACUUCGGGAAACCGGAGCUAAUACCGGAUAAUAUAUUGAACCGCAUGGUUCAAUAGUGAAAGACGGUUUUGCUGUCACUUAUAGAUGGAUCCGCGCCGCAUUAGCUAGUUGGUAAGGUAACGGCUUACCAAGGCAACGAUGCGUAGCCGACCUGAGAGGGUGAUCGGCCACACUGGAACUGAGACACGGUCCAGACUCCUACGGGAGGCAGCAGUAGGGAAUCUUCCGCAAUGGGCGAAAGCCUGACGGAGCAACGCCGCGUGAGUGAUGAAGGUCUUCGGAUCGUAAAACUCUGUUAUUAGGGAAGAACAAAUGUGUAAGUAACUAUGCACGUCUUGACGGUACCUAAUCAGAAAGCCACGGCUAACUACGUGCCAGCAGCCGCGGUAAUACGUAGGUGGCAAGCGUUAUCCGGAAUUAUUGGGCGUAAAGCGCGCGUAGGCGGUUUUUUAAGUCUGAUGUGAAAGCCCACGGCUCAACCGUGGAGGGUCAUUGGAAACUGGAAAACUUGAGUGCAGAAGAGGAAAGUGGAAUUCCAUGUGUAGCGGUGAAAUGCGCAGAGAUAUGGAGGAACACCAGUGGCGAAGGCGACUUUCUGGUCUGUAACUGACGCUGAUGUGCGAAAGCGUGGGGAUCAAACAGGAUUAGAUACCCUGGUAGUCCACGCCGUAAACGAUGAGUGCUAAGUGUUAGGGGGUUUCCGCCCCUUAGUGCUGCAGCUAACGCAUUAAGCACUCCGCCUGGGGAGUACGACCGCAAGGUUGAAACUCAAAGGAAUUGACGGGGACCCGCACAAGCGGUGGAGCAUGUGGUUUAAUUCGAAGCAACGCGAAAAACCUUACCAAAUCUGACAUCCUCUGACCCCUCUAGAGAUAGAGUUUUCCCCCUUCGGGGGACAAUGACAGGUGGGGCAUGGUUGUCUCCACCUCGUGUCUGAAUGUGGGUUAUUCCCCCAACGAGCC